CCCUUAGAUGUUCUGGGCUGCACACGUGCUACACUGGCAGGUUCAGCGAGCUUCAUGCCCUGAUCUGAAAGGAAUGGGAAAUCUUUUCAAAACCUGCCGUGCUUGGGAUAGAUGUUUGCAAUUAUUCAUCUUCAACGAGGAUUGCCUUGUAAGCGCACGUCAUCAGCGUGCAUUGAAUACGACCCUGUAUUCUGUACACACCGCCCGUCGCUCCUACCGAUUGAAGUUUUCGGUUAGUUGACAGGAGGAUUUUUUUGAAACUGGUUCGCCAGUGGAUUUUAGAUCCAAAUGCCAACGAAUCGAUGGCUUUAGAGGAAGGAGAAGUCGUAACA
rnacentral:rRNA from 1 species